rnacentral:piRNA from 1 species
UGCCACAGUGUUGGUUUAAGAGGCUA